rnacentral:rRNA from 1 species
UGAGUACGAGAUGCUACGGCAUCGAAGCAGUCUAUGUCAUACUUCCAAGAAAAGCUUGCAAUGUCAUAAACAAAUAAUGCCUGUACCAUAACCGACACAGGUGGGUAGGUAGAGUACACUAAGGGGCGCGAGAUAACUCUCUCUAAGGAACUCGGCAAAAUGACUCCGUAACUUCGGGAGAAGGAGUGCCUUAUUUUUAUAAGGUUGCAAUAACAAGAUCCAAGCAACUGUUUACCAAAAACACAGGUCUCCGCUAAGUCGUAAGACGAUGUAUGGGGGCUGACGCCUGCCCAGUGCCAGAAGGUUAAAGAAGUUGGUUAGCAUUAGCGAAGCUGAUAACUGAAGCCCUGGUGAACGGCGGCCGUAACUAUAACGGUCCUAAGGUAGCGAAAUUCCUUGUCGGGUAAGUUCCGACCCGCACGAAAGGCGUAAUGAUUUGGAUACUGUCUCGGAGAGGGGCUCGGUGAAAUAGACUUGUCUGUGAAGAUGCGGACUACCUGCACCUGGACAGAAAGACCCUAUGAAGCUUUACUGUAACUUGAGAUUGAAAUUGGACUUUAUCUGCGCAGUAUAGGUGGGAGACGUUGAAAAUAUUCUUGCGGGAAUAUUGGAGUCAUCAGUGAGAUACCACUCUUAUAAUGUUAGAUUUCUAACUUUGUAUCAUUAUCUGGUCAAAGAACAGUUUCAGGCGGGCAGUUUGACUGGGGCGGUCGCCUCCCAAACGGUAACGGAGGCGCACAAAGGUUUCCUCUGAACGUGUAGAAAUCGUAUCUAGAGUGUAAAGGCAUAAGGAAGCUUGACUGUGAGACCUACAAGUCGAGCAGGGACGAAAGUCGGUCUUAGUGAUCUGACGGUGCUGAGUGGAAAGGCCGUCACUCAACGGAUAAAAGUUACUCUAGGAUAACAGGCUGAUCUCCCCCAAGAGUUCACAUCGACGGGGAGGUUUGGCACCUCGAUGUCGGCUCAUCGCAUCCUGGGGCGGUAGUACGUCCCAAGGGUUGGGCUGUUCGCCCAUGAAAGCGGUACGCGAGCUGGGUUCAGAACGUCGUGAGACAGUUCGGUCCAUAUCCGGUGUAGGCGUUAGAAUAUUGAGAGGAGCCUUCUUUAGUACGAGAGGACCGAGAAGGACAUACCUCUGGUGUACCAGUUAUCGUGCCAACGGUAAACGCUGGGUAGCCAUGUAUGGAGAGGAUAACCGCUGAAAGCAUCUAAGUGGGAAGCCCACCUCAAGAUAAGUAUUCUCAUC